UGGGGAAUAUUGCACAAUGGGCGCAAGCCUGAUGCCGCCAUGCCGCGUGUAUGAAGAAGGCCUUCGGGUUGUAAAGUACUUUCAGCGGGGAGGAAGGGAGUAAAGUUAAUACCUUUGCUCAUUGACGUUACCCGCAGAAGAAGCACCGGCUAACUCCGUGCCAGCAGCCGCGGUAAUACGGAGGGUGCAAGCGUUAAUCGGAAUUACUGGGCGUAAAGCGCACGCAGGCGGUUUGUUAAGUCAGAUGUGAAAUCCCCGGGCUCAACCUGGGAACUGCAUCUGAUACUGGCAAGCUUGAGUCUCGUAGAGGGGGGUAGAAUUCCAGGUGUAGCGGUGAAAUGCGUAGAGAUCUGGAGGAAUACCGGUGGCGAAGGCGGCCCCCUGGACAAAGACUGACGCUCAGGUGCGAAAGCGUGGGGAGCAAACAGG
rnacentral:rRNA from 1 species